UAGGUGUGUGAAAUAAGCCAUAUAUUCAUGC
rnacentral:piRNA from 1 species